ensembl:lncRNA
GGGGAUUAAUAUCAAGGGGCAGACUUGCGCUUGACAGUAAGGGUUCAUACUCUCGCUUGCCUGCCACCCACUCUCGUUCUUUACCUCACUGCGAAUCCCAGUCUGAAGUGUCUGCUAAAUGCAACCUUAUCGCAUAUGAGUGUGAAUUCAGUCUCUCAUCUGAGCCAUAAGGAAAGACUGUUAGUGCUGAAGGGAGAAGCUGCUCAUCAUCUCAGGCAGAAACAGGACCCUGGGUUGUGGUACCAGACCCAGGAAACAUAACAAAAGGGGCUCUGUUGCAUAUCUGCCCUGAAGCCCAGCUCUCCCCUGAGGUCUGCCUGACCAUCGAUCGCAAGCUACAUGACAAACAAGCAGAAUGAGCUGCCCAGCAAGCAGGACCACUUUAAACAGGAGUCAUUCUGUGCCUGUCAAUUACCCACACUUACUGUUACGAACUCAUUCGUUUUCAAGGUCCCCA